UGGGUUGUAGUUCAGUGGUAGAGCGCUCGCCUCGCAUGUUCGAGACCCUGGGUUCAAUCCUCAGCACCACAG
rnacentral:tRNA from 1 species